CCCUUAGAUGUUCUGGGCCGCACGCGUGCUACACUGACCGGCGCAACAAGUUUCUUUCCUUGGCCGAUAGGUCUGGGUAAUCUUUGAACGCUGUUCGUGAUUGGGAUAGACCUUUGCAAUUAUGGGUCUUCAACGAGGAAUUCCUAGUAAACGCAAGUCAUCAGCUUGCAUUGAUUACGUCCCUGCCCUUUGUACACACCGCCCGUCGCACCUACCGAUUGAAUGGUCCGGUGAAAUCUCGGGACGGCGGCUUGGUCGCUUGCGUCCGACUGCUGAAACUUGAUUAAACCAUAUCAUUUAGAGGAAGGUGAAGUCGUAACA
rnacentral:rRNA from 1 species